UAGGUACCGCCCAAGAGAUCGGGAUAACACCUGGAAACAGAUGCUAAUACCGGAUAACAACAGAUGAUGCCUAUCAACUGUUUAAAAGAUGGUUCUGCUAUCACUCUUGGAUGGACCUGCGGUGCAUUAGCUAGUUGGUAGGGUAACGGCCUACCAAGGCGAUGAUGCAUAGCCGAGUUGAGAGACUGAUCGGCCACAUUGGGACUGAGACACGGCCCAAACUCCUACGGGAGGCAGCAGC
rnacentral:rRNA from 1 species